rnacentral:rRNA from 1 species
UGGGGGAUAUUGCACAAUGGGCGAAAGCCUGAUGCAGCGACGCCGCGUGAGGGAAGACGGUCUUCGGAUUGUAAACCUCUGUCUUUGGGGAUGAAAAAAAUGACAGUACCCAAAGAGGAAGCCACGGCUAACUACGUGCCAGCAGCCGCGGUAAUACGUAGGUGGCGAGCGUUGUCCGGAAUUACUGGGUGUAAAGGGAGUGUAGGCGGGAAGUCAAGUCGAGUGUUAAAACUAUGGGCUCAACCCAUAAGUGCGCUUGAAACUGAUUUUCUUGAGUGAAGUAGAGGCAGGCGGAAUUCCUAGUGUAGCGGUGAAAUGCGUAGAUAUUAGGAGGAACACCAGUGGCGAAGGCGGCCUGCUGGGCUUUUACUGACGCUGAGGCUCGAAAGCGUGGGGAGCAAACA